AGAGUUUGAUCCUGGCUCAGGAUGAACGCUGGCGGCGUGCUUAGUACAUGCAAGUCGAACGGAGUGCUAGAAAUAGUACUUAGUGGCGAACGGGUGAGUAACGCGUUGGUGACCUGCCCCGAAGAGAGGGAUAACAGUUCGAAAGGACUGCUAAUACCGCAUGAUCUCUGGCUAGUUAGAGAAGCCAGAGGAAAGGAGAAAUCCGCUUUGGGAGGGGCCUGCGUCCCAUCAGCUAGUUGGUAAGGUAAAAGCUUACCAAGGCGACGACGGGUAGGGGACCCGAGAGGGUGGCCCCCCCACACUGGCACUGAAACACGGGCCAGACACCUACGGGUGGCAGCAGUAGGGAAUAUUGCACAAUGGGCGAAAGCCUGAUGCAGCAACGCCGCGUGCGCGAUGACGGCCUUCGGGUUGUAAAGCGCUUUUCGGGGAGAUGAGAAAGGACAGUAUCCCCGGAAUAAGGCUCGGCUAACUACGUGCCAGCAGCCGCGGUAAAACGUAGGAGCCAAGCGUUAUCCGAAUUCACUGGGCGUAAAGCGCGUGCAGGCGGCUCGGUAAGUUGGAUGUAAAAUCUCCUGGCUCAACUGGGAGGGGACGUUCAAUACUGUCGGGCUAGAGGGCAGCAGAGGGAGGUGGAAUUCCCGGUGUAGUGGUGAAAUGCGUAGAUAUCGGGAGGAACACCAGUGGCGAAAGCGGCCUCCUGGGCUGACCCUGACGCUCAGACGCGAAAGCUAGGGGAGCAAACGGGAUUAGAAACCCCGGUAGUCCUACCUGUAAACGAUGUCGACUGGGUGUUGGUGGUGUAAAAGCCAUCGGUGCCGAAGCUAACGCGAUAAGUCGACCGCCUGGGGACUACGGCCGCAAGGUUAAAACUCAAAGGAAUUGACGGGGGCCCGCACAAGCAGCGGAGCGUGUGGUUUAAUUCGAUUUACGCGAAGAACCUUACCCGGGUUUGACAUACAGGUGGUAGAGAAGCGAAAGCGGACCGACCCUUCGGGGAGCCUGAACAGGUGCUGCAUGGCUGUCGUCAGCUCGUGUCGUGAGAUGUCCGGUUAAGUCCGGUAACGAGCGCAACCCCUGCCGUAUGUUACAAGUGUCAUACGGGACUGCUGGUAUAAAGCCGGAGGAAGGUGGGGAUGACGUCAAGCCAGCAUGGCCUUUAUGUCCGGGGCUACACACACGCUACAAUGGCCGGUACAAUGGGUCGCAAAGCCGCGAGGUAGAGCCAAUCCCCAAAGCCGGUCUCAGUUCAGAUUGCAGGCUGCAACCCGCCUGCAUGAAGUCGGAGUUGCUAGUAACCGCGCGUCAGCAUUAGUGCGGUGAAUACGUUCCCGGGCCUUGUACACACCGCCCGUCACGUCAUGGGAGCUGGUAACACCUGAAGCCGGUAUCCUAACCGUAAGGAGGGAGCCGUCGAAGGUGGGACUGGUGACUGGGACGAAGUCGUAACAAGGUA
rnacentral:rRNA from 1 species